rnacentral:lncRNA from 1 species
ACCUCCACCACCACCUGUUGGACAUCUCAGAGGUUCUCAGAACUUGGCCUGUUCAGAACUGCACACAUGCUGUUCCAGGAGGAAUCAUGUCCCUGAGAAAUCUACACGUUGAAGUCUGUCAUCACCAGAACCUCAGAAUGUGGCUGUGCGUGGAGACAGGGUGUUCAAUGGGGUCAUUAGGAGAUUAGGACACAGACACACACAGAGGGAUGCCCACGUGAAGACAUAAGGAGGAGGAGGCAUCUACAGGUCAAGGCGGGGGACCUCUGAAGAAACCAGCCCUGCCGACACCUUUGUCUCGGACUUCCAGCCUCCAGAACUAUGAGGAAAGAAGCCCAGGAUCUAAGCUGGGCGCAGUGGCUCACGUCUGUAAUCCCAACACUUCGGGAGGCCGA